rnacentral:rRNA from 1 species
GACGACCUUUGGCGGCGUGCUUAACACAUGCAAGUCGAACGAAAAGAGGGAAAGAGCUUGCUCUUUCCGGAAUUGAGUGGCAAACGGGUGAGUAACACGUAAACAACCUGCCUUCAGGAUGGGGACAACAGACGGAAACGACUGCUAAUACCGAAUAAGUUCCAAGGGCCGCAUGGCCCAUGGAAAAAAAGGUGGCCUCUACCUGUAAGCUAUCGCCUGAAGAGGGGUUUGCGUCUGAUUAGCUGGUUGGAGGGGUAACGGCCCACCAAGGCGACGAUCAGUAGCCGGUCUGAGAGGAUGAACGGCCACACUGGAACUGAGACACGGUCCAGACUCCUACGGGAGGCAGCAGUGGGGAAUCUUCCGCAAUGGGCGAAAGCCUGACGGAGCAACGCCGCGUGAGUGAUGACGGCCUUCGGGUUGUAAAACUCUGUGAUCCGGGACGAAAAGGCAGAGUGCGAAGAACAAACUGCAUUGACGGUACCGGAAAAGCAAGCCACGGCUAACUACGAGCCAGCAGCCGCGGUAAUACGUAGGUGGCAAGCGUUGUCCGGAAUUAUUGGGCGUAAAGCGCGCGCAGGCGGCUUCCCAAGUCCCUCUUAAAAGUGCGGGGCUUAACCCCGUGAUGGGAAGGAAACUGGGAAGCUGGAGUAUCGGAGAGGAAAGUGGAAUUCCUAGUGUAGCGGUGAAAUGCGUAGAGAUUAGGAAGAACACCGGUGGCGAAGGCGACUUUCUGGACGAAAACUGACGCUGAGGCGCGAAAGCGUGGGGAGCAAACAGGAUUAGAUACCCUGGUAGUCCACGCCGUAAAC